UUUACAACAGGCUAAUGAGUUAGGUAUUAUGCCCCUCAUUGCCAAAAUUAGGAAGGAAACUAAGACCCAGAAGGAAUGAUUUUCAAGGCCACACAAUAAAUUGCAGAAUUUGGUUUCCAAGUCAGUCUGAAUUCAAGGUCCAUGUUCCUAACCACAGUGUUUUGCUGCAAACAAACACAGUUCACUGGGAUAAGUGCAGUUAUGGUGGCUUGUACAAAAUGUUCUGUGGUAGUACAGGCAGGGAGUGACAGCUUUAGCCUGCUAAACAGUCAAGACAGGCAUCACAUUCAAGUAACGUUAGAGCUGAGCCUGAAGGAUGGACAGGAUUUUGCAAGUGGAGGUGGGGAGAAGAGUUUUCUGGGCAGAGAGAACUGCGUACAAAGACAGAAGACCCUGAAAGCACAGAGCUUGUAGUUGGGGGCCCCUGAGCAUCUGGAAGAGAGGACAGGAAAUGAGGCAGGAACAGCUGAAGAGCAUCUUCUCCAGAGCAACCAGAACAGACCAAGACACCAUCCAAGAGCACCAUUGUGAUGACCCAGAGAUCUGUGUGGAUUGAUGGCCUUAGCAUCACUGUGCCAGCCAAGUGCAAGAAGCAACCCCAGGAAACUGACCAAGAUGACAUCUCUACCACCCAGGGAAAAUGAACACUCAUAAUGAAAAUUAUCACAGUUUCUUAAAUACACAAGUUUACAGAUGAGCGUCAUCAUUCAAAGAAAAGAAAUACUAAAGGAUCAGACAAAAUUAGGAGAAGAGAGGCUUAUGGAGGAGGAGGAAGAGAGUGGUUGAGUCGAACAAAGGCAACUUCAGUUUGGCUUGGAGGAGAUCAUUAAUGGCUCAAGUGCUGUGAGGUGGACCUAGGAUCAUAAUAAUUCACUUAGUGGUUCCCCCCCCAGCCACUAUUACUUUCGUUCUGGUUUUAUCAUGUUGGGAUUUUGCCUGUAUCAGUUUUUUUUUUUUCCCCAGGCGCUGAUAAAUGAAAACCUUAAAAAAAGAAAUCCUAUGGAUUCUUAGAUUGGCGGUGCUGGACAGCAAGUGACCAGAAGAGAAACAAGUGGUAACCCAACCUGCAUGAAGAAAAUUCAGUAGAACCUUGCUGGUGUAGAGAAGAUGGCACAAAGAAGAGUGAGAACACUUUUAUGAAAGGCUUAGGAAAUGU
rnacentral:lncRNA from 1 species